AAGUGAAAGCGGGGCGCACCCUUCGCGGUCGCCCGGGGAGGACGGCGUCGGGCAAACCGGCGCCCGCACUCCCGGGGCGCCUCGGCCUCCGGCCGCAGGCGCACCCGGAGCGUACACGUUGGGACCCGAAAGAUGGUGAACUAUGCCUGGUCAGGACGAAGUCAGGGGAAACCCUGAUGGAGGUCCGCAGCGAUUCUGACGUGCAAAUCGAUCGUCAGAGCUGGGUAUAGGGGCGAAAGACUAAUCGAACCAUCUAGUAGCUGGUUCCCUCCGAAGUUUCCCUCAGGAUAGCUGGCGUCCAUUUCGACCGGGACGAGUCUCAUCCGGUAAAGCGAAUGAUUAGAGGCCUUGGGGCCGAAACGACCUCAACCUAUUCUCAAACUUUAAAUGGGUGAGAUCUCCGGCUUGCUUGACUGAAGCCGCGAGGUCUGGAUCAGGGUGCCAAGUGGGCCAUUUUU
rnacentral:rRNA from 1 species